AAAACAUUGCUUUUAGUAACCUAAUUAAAAGUUCAUCCUGCCCAGUGAAACAUUCAACGGCCGCGGUACCCUAACCGUGCAAAGGUAGCAUAAUCAUUUGCCUUUUAAUUGUAGGCUAGCAUGAAUGGACAAACGUAAUUCUCGCUGUAUCAUUUUUAUAAUCUAUAAAUUAUGCUUCAAGUGAAGACACUUGAAUCAUCUUGAAAGACAAGAAGACCCUAUAGAGUUUUAGUAGAUUCACCCUUCUAUUCCACACUCUACUUUGGUUGGGGCGACCUAGGAUUACCAAAAACAUCCUUUUAUAAAAAGAGUUUAUUCCUCAUAUUAAAGACCCUAAAUUUCAGAUUCUUAAAAUUAACUACCUUAGGGAUAACAGGCUCAUCUUCCUAAAGAGUUCAAAUUGACAGGAAGGUCUGGCACCUCGAUGUUGGCUUAGAGUAACCCCCUAAUGCAAAAGUUAGGUUUGGUAGGUUUGUUCAACCUUUAAACCUCUACGUGAUC
rnacentral:rRNA from 1 species